CACUUUCAGUGUAGAGAGUAGGCUUCAUAUAAGAGAGUUUGAUGAAGGUAGAGAUGUUAAGGUGGUGGGGAAGCUUGAGAGGAAGUGUGAGAUUGGGACUAAAAAGGGGGUCUCCAUUUUCACCAACAUGAUGGGUGACCCUUUAUCUAGGAUUAGGUUAUAUCCCCUUCAUGUUAUGUUGGUGGCUGAGCUGCUUGAAAGCAAGGAGCUUGUGGGUGUGGUUCGAGGGUGCAUUAAGAGUAUGAGAACUCCUUCUGAAUCAUUGCUGAAGAUUGGUUGCAUACUAGGCCUUAGAGUCUCUCCUUCACACAGGAGAAAGGGGAUUGGACUGAAACUUGUCACCUCAGUUGAAGAAUGGAUGCUGAGAAAUGGGGCUGAAUAUGCAUUCCUGGCAACUGAAAAGAACAACGAUGCCUCUAGAAACCUAUUUACCAACAAAUGCAAAUAUGUGAGCCUCAGCUCACUUUUCAUAUUUGUGCAUCCAAUUAGUUUCCCUGCAAAGCAGAUUUCCAAGGAUAUAGAAAUUGAGAAGGUAAACAUAGACCAGGCAAUUUCGUUAUACAGAAGAACCCUGAUGGCCAAAGAGCUUUACCCAUUAGACAUGGAUAGUAUUUUGAAGGAGAAUCUCAGCUUGGGCACCUGGGUGAGUUAUUACAAAGAGGGAGGCUUACUCAACUUGCAGAGAAAGGAAGAGAGUGAAGACAUUAUUACCAAUGAAAUCACAAGCUCAUGGAUCAUCUUUAGCAUAUGGAAUACUUGUGAGGCUUACAAGCUUCAACUUAAAAAGUCUCAGCCACUUAGGUUUCUUCACACAGCUUUAAAUCAUGCAAGAGACAAAAUCUUCCCUUGUCUGAGAAUGUCGGUGAGUGACUCACUGUGCAGGCCCUUUGGGUUUCUCUUCCUCUAUG
rnacentral:sRNA from 1 species